rnacentral:rRNA from 1 species
UACAGAGGGUGCGAGCGUUAAUCGGAAUUAUUGGGCGUAAAGAGCUCGUAGGCGGUGUGUCACGUCGGCCGUGAAAACCUGCAGCUUAACUGUGGGCGUGCGGUCGAUACGGGCAUCACUGGAGUUCGGCAGGGGAGACUGGAAUUCCUGGUGUAGCGGUGAAAUGCGCAGAUAUCAGGAGGAACACCGGUGGCGAAGGCGGGUCUCUGGGCCGAUACUGACGCUGAGGAGCGAAAGCGUGGGGAGCAAACAGG